ACGUAGAAGUCUCUAAGGCCUCCCUGGGAAAGAAAGAGAAGUCUUUGCCCUGAUAAGUAUACCAAUUCUCCUCUCUUAUUGACUCACUUUAAAAGGCUGCUGCAGAGAGGCUGGCCUUCGUGUCUGCAAAACUGGGGCAGAGAGGUAGGUAGGAGAGUCCCAAGGAACGUCAGAGACAGAGGACCAAAUACUUUGCCUCUCUUUCCACUACCGGCACCCCUUACCUUUCACUACCAGGGUCCCACAAUUUCUCUUCAUUCAUAAUCUUAAAUAGAAGACUGCUUAGAGAGAAGAUGCCCACUGACAAGAAAGAAGAUAAGACAUUGUUUUUAACUCUCAGCUGACCUUUGCUCUCAAGGAGGCAUGCAAUGACAAGAUCUGCAUUUCCUAGUAGCUUCUUCCCCUCCAGGCCUGGGGGCUGCUGAACCACACCAGAGAUCCCAGGACAUUCCAUAGCUGUGAGGCUGGGAGCCCGGAAUGUCUGGAACCCACAGAGGGAAGGUGCCCCAGCAUGCUCCCCCACCCCAACCACAUUUCCCCAAAGAUCUCAAAGCACUCUCCAAGGAUGAUCUCAUUUUCUAAUAGAGAGUGGCGGAGAAGGGCAGAGGGAGAGAGAGAGAAUCUUAAGUAGACUCCACACUCAGCAU